rnacentral:rRNA from 1 species
GUUACAAUGGCCGAGUACAACGGACGCAAAGCCGCGAGGUGGAGCAAAUCCUAAAAAGCCGGUCUCAGUUCGGAUUGCAGGCUGCAAUUCGCCUGCAUGAAGUCGGAAUCGCUAGUAAUCGCAGGUCAGCAUACUGCGGUGAAUACGUUCCCGGGCCUU